CCACUUACUCCCAUCAUUGCUGACUCUUCUACCUGUACCAGGCUGGAGUGCAAUCUCGGCUCAUCACAACCUCCGCCUCCCGGGUUCAAGCAAUUCUCCUGCCUCAGCCUCCUGAGUAGCCGGAAUUACAGAACGCACCACCAUGCCUGGCUAAUUUUUUGUAUUUUCAGUAGAGAUGGCGUUUCUCUGUGUUGGUCAGGCUGAUCUCGAACUCCCGACCUCAGGUGAUCUGCCCGCCUUGGCCUCCCAAAGUGCUGGGAUUACAGGCUUGAGCCACCAGGCCCAGCCAACAGUACUCUUUUUUCUAAAUACAAUGGUAACUUUUAGGACCUUCAAUGGUCCCAAAAUAUUAUGCGAUGAAUGCAUAAUAUUACAUAGCAAUUAAAGAUGCUGG
rnacentral:lncRNA from 10 species